GCUCUAGGGAAGCUGAUGUGCAACCCUCUAACAAGGCAAUCAUAAAUUGCAGAACAAUAAACAGCCCUGGAGAUUUUUAGAUAGUAUGUGGUUAGCAUGCAAUCCAUCUUGGGAAACUUGAUUUAAUACCUCAAAGGAGCAUCUCUGACAAUGCUCAACAUUGUUUUAAACUGCUGCUAAAUCAAUUAGUGCAUUGGAGAAUCCUAACGUCUCUGCCUCUCUCAUCGCCCAUCCCAAGAAUUCUGGCUGGUUAUCUUGUAGAGAAAAAGAUUUAGGGAACCACUGCAUGGAUGCACUUGGGUUCCCUGGAAAACAUUAGAGAUAAUCCUGCAUGAAAGGAGGGGUAAGCCAACCUCCCAACCUCUUUAAAUCAUCAAGAUCGAUGUGGGCGUCACCUUCAAAAUUCAUUUCAAUUUUUCUGAGUUACCACAACUGUAGCCAAGAAGGAUAAAUUACAUAAAAGGUAUCAAUGAAACUUUGCCUGAGUCCAUAGUGGUGCUAGCCAAAUGCAGCUGUAUUUAGUUUAGCAGUCCUUAAUAUGAGAAGGGAUUCUGAUCACAGAAUUGGUGUCUGUAAAUCCUAUUCACAUAUCAUCUUUGAUGGAACCUAAGUAACAUUUUCCUUACUGUCAAACCUUACAGUGAUUUCAAAAUCUAACAGAACUUGUCGCAUAGCAGGGGCUCAACAGCAGCCAGCCAGUUCCUCAUGGUUAGGUGAAGAAAGUAAAGCUAAGGUGCUCACAGAAGAAAGCAGGAUGUCAGAAACUCAUGCCCGCAAGACUGGAAUCAAAGCCAGAGGAAGCUGAAUGGAUCAAGAGAAAGAAAGCAAGGAAGGAAGAAAAGAAGGAAAGAAGGAAGCAACCAAGCCCCUUUGCCGAGGAGUAUUUUGUAUAAUUCAAAUGGAAUUGUAAUUCCCCACCAAUAAAACACCAUGUUCUAAACCUUCUAUAUCAUAGCCUAACGUGAAACAUUGGCCUUCUUUCUCCUUUGCCCCUCACUCAAAUGCCAGAGCCACUGUAGGGCAUGGCACAAAGAGGGAAACAGUGCUGUGGCAUUCUGAUUAGACUCUAACAAAAAAAAUUUUCCUAAACACUCUUUCACUAGUGGACAGUUCAAUAAAAGAGGGAACUGGGAAGACAGAACCUCCUGCACACUGUCAUUAAUGAACAUCCAGUCGACAUUGACCUCUGUGUAGUGCUGUGCUGGAUACCAUACAGAGCAGUUCACAGACACGCUCCCUGCUGCUCUUUAAAGUUGGCAAUUGAAAACAGAUGACAAUAGGCUGAGGAAAGUGAU
rnacentral:lncRNA from 1 species